GCAUUGGUGGUUGAGUGGUGGAAUUCCUGCCUUCCAUGCAGGAGACCCAGGUUUGAUUCCUGGCCAAUGCG
rnacentral:tRNA from 1 species